rnacentral:rRNA from 1 species
UACGUAGGGUGCGAGCGUUGUCCGGAAUUAUUGGGCGUAAAGGGCUCGUAGGCGGUCUGUUGCGUCGGGAGUGAAAACUCAGGGCUUAACCCCUGAGCCUGCUUCCGAUACGGGCAGACUAGAGGUAUGCAGGGGAGAACGGAAUUCCUGGUGUAGCGGUGAAAUGCGCAGAUAUCAGGAGGAACACCGGUGGCGAAGGCGGUUCUCUGGGCAUUACCUGACGCUGAGGAGCGAAAGUGUGGGGAGCGAACAGG